rnacentral:misc_RNA from 1 species
GAUGAAGAACGUAGCGAAAUGCGAUAAGUAAUGUGAAUUGCAGAAUUCAGUGAAUCAUCGAAUCUUUGAACGCACAUUGCGCCCCCUGGUAUUCCGGGGGGCAUGCCUGUCCGAGCGUCAUUACAACCCUCAAGCUCAGCUUGGUAUUGGGCCCCGCCGACCCGGCGGGCCCUAAAGUCAGUGGCGGUGCCGUCCGGCUCCGAGCGUAGUAAUUCUUCUCGCUCUGGAGGUCCGGUCGUGUGCUCGCCAGCAACCCCCAAUUUUUUUCAGGUUGACCUCGGAUCAGGUAGGGAUACCCGCUGAACUUAAGCAUAUCAAUAAGGAGGA